GCAGUCAUUGCGUUCGGGUGAGAUGUGCAGUGUUGUGUGUAAUACCAAGAUCAAAGUGACCUCUUUACCUUACAGCUGCUUGAAGUAGAGAAGGAAAGUAUGUAUCACGAGACAGCUGAUGAUGAGUUCCUACCUCAAUUUGAGUGCCUGGAUAUUCUGAGGACAACUUCCAGCUGGGGAGACUGAGGGAGGUCUUCAUGAAGGAGGUGUCUCAACAAAGUGGUAGGAUGAAAAAAUUUGGAGAUCUGACAGUGGAUGCUGCUUAUCCAGGACCAACUUUUUCUCUCUUCUCACCUCUGAUACGCCACCCAAUGGGUUGCAUCACGUGUCCCCUGCUUCUUGGACUUCACCCUGGCUCUAGAAGGUUGGUGUGUAUUAUUACAAAUGGGGAUGGGGCAGGAGUCCGGCACUAUAGUAGCUGCCCUAAAUCUCAGUGCAUUUUCAAUGAUGGGUUAUCAGCAUCAGGGAAGAUAUUUUUAGGCAAGGGAUGGCUUUGCCCCACGUAGACAAGCUCUCAUUGCGGCUUUCAUAAGGUCAGCCUAGCCCAGGUUAACGUGGCUUUCAAAAUCACAAAGGGGAAGAAUCAAAGUCUGUCUGCUUUCAUUAAGUCCAACCCUUGCCUGCAUAUUAGAAUAUGUAUAAAUCAACCCUCUCUAGAAGGAUGGCCGGCCUCCAGGUCAAGCAAGGUACAAGGGAUGGGGGGCAGGGCUCCUCAUUAAUGGUGGAAACAAAUGAGGUCAACAUCAUUAAUAGCAGAGCUUCCCCAAUUUAUCUUCAGACAAUCAAACCACUGAGGGAGGGGCUGAUGAGGGAAGCCGAGCAUGUCAUUAGGAUGAGAACUGUUCAAGCUUCUUUUGCUUCUAUGUAACCUCAGAAAUAUGCCAAAGGUCUCCCAAAAGGCUCCCAGAUCAGACCAUCAUCCACCUGAUGCAAAAGCCUUUUUCUGUCUUUGCAUCUGAGCAUCAUGGUGGGAAAUCGUCAAACCAAAACAUAAAAAACACAGGGAAAUUUCACACAGAUGUCUAUGCAGCCCUCUUGAUAACAAUGUCCCCAUCUUAUACGGAAUUAUUGGAAAGCAGGUUGAACAGUCUUUAGAUUCCAAGGGUGGGGGAUGAGAGAAGGCAAGGGAUUCAGACUUUAUGGGAGUUCCUGUCGGAUUUGUUGUUGUUGUUGUUGCUGUUUUGGAGUUCUGUUUCUGGGCCACAAAGUAUCUCUCAGGGUAUGUGUGGGCUUCACACAAAAAUAAUAGAGUCAACAGCCAGCCUUGUUCCUUCAGAGGGAGUUAUUUCUUGACUGUUUUUACGAGCCACCCUAGGAGAAGAAUACUGAUGGAUGGAGACUUCUAUUUCUAUUGUUAGCUUUUGAGGGAAAAGAGAUAUUUUGGUGAUUCAUCCAACAGUUGGAGGGGAAAUCUGCUGAAGGUUAAGAGCAUUAAAUGUAAGAAACACGAAACAAUUAAAUGGCAGAGGAUAACAGACCAAGCCCUAUGCUGGGCAUCAGGGCGGUGGCUCUCCGCCUUGGCUGUCCAUUAGGAUUGUCCUUGGCAUUCAGAAACAAUCCAAUAAAAAAGUGCAAUCCUGUGCCA
rnacentral:lncRNA from 1 species